UUAGCGUGCGCUACUCCCGUUGGCCUGCGUUGGUACCGCAUGUAGCUGUAGGCUCCUCCCCCUGUUAUCGUCAGUGUGCCGCCAAUCGAGUCAACAGGUAUAGUGUGUUUUAAUUCAGCAUUGGGCCCAUACGGUCAUUUCAAUAAUAAACAUUUUUACCAAUUUUAUACAUUCUGUUUUUAGAUGAGGGACGGCUACUGAGCAACCUGAACGGCUGAACCCUGCUGCUUUGUCUUAUAUUUCGUCUGCGGUUUCAAUUACAGCGCCAUCCGCUGUUGUGUUUACAGCUUUGUUUGCUGUCCUUGUUUAUAGCGCUGUUUGUUGCCUGUUGCCUACAGCGUUGCAACAGAUUUGGCGUUGUGUUACCACGGCCGGAAACCGUUACAGCCAUUUUCACUGCCAUAAGUGUGCCGCCUUGGCCAUUGGGUUUGUUUUGCUUUGAAUAUAGUUUGUUUAUUUGCUUUCUUUUCUGUUUUUGGGCAAAGGAUAUUUUGUUUGGAUUGAUUGUUUGCCCUGUUUUGGUUUCGCAUUAGUUUUGUUUCAUUGUGUUUGAUUCUUGUCUGUUUUACUUUGCAGAGGUCUGUGGUGGUGGCGGUGUCCCUUUUCUUCCUGUGUGCUGUGCUUCCCUGGGAUUUGUGUUUGUGUGUGAUUAUCACUUACCCGGGUGAUUUAUAUUAUUUGGACCCUUCCCUUCGCUAGUCCCCCCAUUCACAUCAGCCUCCGCCUUAACAGUUUAUUGUGUGUUUAUUCCAUUGGAGUAAUUAAAUAAAAUAUAUAUUGUUAAAA